GCCCUUCCUAACAUCAACCAUUUUGUUAUUAUAUAGAUUAUAUAUAUAUAUAAUUUAUUUGUAAAUAACUUUGGUUGGGGUGAUCAAGGAAUAAAAUUAAUUUAAAAUGUUGUAUUAAGUUGCUUAAUUUUUAUGUUAGUUGAAGAAUAAAACAGGUGUCUUGGUGUAGAGGA